rnacentral:rRNA from 1 species
CAUCUAAGCGUGAAGCCCCCCUCAAGAUGGGAUAUCUCAUACGCAAGUAGUAAGACCCCUUAAAGACGAUAAGGUAGAUAGGGCAGAGGUGUAAGCAUAGUGAUAUGUAGAGCUGACUGCUACUAAUCGGUCGAGGGUUUAACCAGAA